UACAGAGGGUGCUAGCGUUGUUCGGAAUUACUGGGCGUAAAGGGCGCGUAGGCGGCUAUUCAAGUCAGGCGUGAAAGCCCCAGGCUUAACCUGGGAGGUGCGCUUGAUACUGGAUGGCUAGAGAACAGGAGAGGAAAGCAGAAUUCCGAGUGUAGAGGUGAAAUUCGUAGAUAUUCGCAAGAACACCAGUGGCGAAGGCGGCUCACUGGCCCAUUACUGACGCUGAGGCACGAAAGCGUGGGGAGCAAACAGG
rnacentral:rRNA from 1 species